GCAGCCGCGGCCCGGCCUGGCCGUUCCGGCAGCCCCGGCGGAAAGGCGCUGCGGAGCGUGCGGGCCGAGGCGGCGCGGCCUGAGGGGCUGCCCGGAACACAGCCCGGCACGGUUAAAGAAUAAAGCAGGGGUUUGCUAAAAGGCCUUCAAAGGAUACACCUUGGGCAGUGGAAGGGCCUGGCCGUGGCUACGCCCAAGUUGGACUCCAGGCCUGAAGCUGCAGCGGUGUCCUUGGUUCUGGGGCUGGAAAAGGAUUGUUUUGUCUGACCGAGCUGUGAGGAGAGCUGCUGACACUUCAUAUGGAGUUCAGUUAUACACAAUGCAGUACAGAAUCUGGGAAACAGGAAAGCUCAGACUUCAGGCAUCUGCAGCACUGCCAGGGCACAGCCGAGUGUCCCCAAAACACAAUAACACAGACAACCGCUCGUGUCCCCAGCUCAGCUCUUCAUCCUCAUUUCCACUGCUCGACCACUGAGGCUGGAAAAUACCUCCGAGGCCACCGAGGUCACCAGCACCACAUCCAGGAAUUCCUUGGACACCUGCAAUGAUGGGGACUCCAAAUCCCCCUGGGCAGCCCUUCCAAUGCCUGACCACCCUUUCCAUGGAGAAAUUCCUCCUGAAGUCCAAUCUAAAUCCAACCUAAACCUCAACUCUGGUGCAGUUUAAGUAAAUGUCUUCAAAUCCUG